GCGGGUAGGAGGGGGUGGGGGAUGCUGCGCGGCUUACCAUGCAAGUCGAGCGAGGUUUUCGGACCUAGCGGCGGACGGGUGAGUAACGCGUGGGAACGUGCCCUUUGCUACGGAAUAGUCCCGGGAAACUGGGUUUAAUACCGUAUGUGCCCUUUGGGGGAAAGAUUUAUCGGCAAAGGAUCGGCCCGCGUUGGAUUAGGUAGUUGGUGGGGUAAUGGCCCACCAAGCCGACGAUCCAUAGCUGGUUUGAGAGGAUGAUCAGCCACACUGGGACUGAGACACGGCCCAGACUCCUACGGGAGGCAGCAGUGGGGAAUCUUAGACAAUGGGGGCAACCCUGAUCUAGCCAUGCCGCGUGAGUGAUGAAGGCCCUAGGGUUGUAAAGCUCUUUCAGCUGGGAAGAUAAUGACGGUACCAGCAGAAGAAGCCCCGGCUAACUCCGUGCCAGCAGCCGCGGUAAUACGGAGGGGGCUAGCGUUGUUCGGAAUUACUGGGCGUAAAGCGCACGUAGGCGGACUGGAAAGUUGGGGGUGAAAUCCCGGGGCUCAACCCCGGAACUGCCUUCAAAACUAUCAGUCUGGAGUUCGAGAGAGGUGAGUGGAAUUC
rnacentral:rRNA from 1 species